GAUGAACGCUAGCGGCAGGCUUAACACAUGCAAGUCGAGGGGCAGCAUGACGGAACCUUCGGGUUUUGUUGAUGGCGACCGGCGCAAGGGUGCGUAACGCGUGAGCAACUUGCCCGUUUCAGGGGGAUAACCGGUGGAAACGCCGACUAAUACCCCAUAGUAUCAUGAUUAGGCAUCUUUUCAUGAUUAAAGAAUUUAUCGCUGAAAGAUGGGCUCGCGUCUGAUUAGCUAGUUGGUGGGGUAACGGCCCACCAAGGCGACGAUCAGUAGCCGGACUGAGAGGUUGAACGGCCACAUUGGGACUGAGAUACGGCCCAGACUCCUACGGGAGGCAGCAGUGGGGAAUAUUGGGCAAUGGGGGAAACCCUGACCCAGCAACGCCGCGUGAAGGAAGAAGGCUUUCGGGUGUAAACUUCUUUUACCAGGGACGAAGACGUGACGGUACCUGGAGAAAAAGCCACGGCUAACUACGUG
rnacentral:rRNA from 1 species